GGGGUGGUGGCACAGUUGGUUAGCGCGUAGGUCUCAUAAUCCUGAGGUUCGAGAGUUCGAGCCUCUCUCACCCCA